UGUGACGGACAUCUCUCUUAGCCAAUCAUCGAUGAAAUUAGGGAGGCGCGCUGCCUGCGUCAUAGCAGUGGAACGAACACCCCAGAUUGAGUGAGGGUGGGUGCCGUCAUCCCCCAAAACACACAUACACACACACAAGCGCUCAUACAUGCACACGUGUGCUCGCGUGCGAUUGCUUAAGUGCCUGUUAACUUUCUGACAGCCAAUGAAAGAACUGGAAAACUAGAAAGGGGCGGGGAGACUGACGGCGCCGGACACUCUCCUCACCACCUCCCAGGCCCGCUAGCCAAUGAGCUGCUGAAGCGACUGACAGCAACCAUAGGAACGAGCGCGGGGAGGAAAGAACGCCAGAUCCAAAAAAAAGAGAAAGAGAAGUAGGUUGUUGUCUCUACAAAAUAGAUGAACAGCCUGAGGGACUGAAGUCUGAUGUGCCUUUACCUCACAAGUCAUUUGUUGCAUAACAUCGUACUAUUUCCCCAGACAAUUGAAGAAACUUUCUUCUUGAAAUCCUGCUCCUAUUUGACAGUGCAAGGAGCACUGAUCAGUCAGGAGACCUGGGUUUAUGUCUUGCAUCUGCUAUUAGCUGUGGGAUGACCUCUCAUCUCUGAACCUCAGAUGCAAUAUGGAUGCCAUACGCCAUGGUUCACAGGAGAAGAAAUGCCAAGCUUCAUUUGCUAACUUCCAGGGACUCUGGGAUGAUAUCAGCUAUCUCUCAGUUUCCAUGAUAGCAUCAGGGAGAUGGAACUCCAUCAGAGCAGAAUAGCCACUGAGUCUGGAAGAACUACAUACUCAGUAAACUUUAAAAGAAGAGCCAAGUUCUGAUCUCACUUUGUUGUUCCUGAGUGUAUAGCAUGGAUGUUUCUUUCUCUGGGACUUCUUAUGGUGGCUUCUUAUAUAUAGCAAAGAGUACAUGUGCUGCUCUAAGUGAGCUGAACCUGGAUCUUGGCCCCCCAGCUGCCUCUUAUGCUUUAUGUUUCUUUCCUUGAGUAACAGUGUCCAAAAAUAAAUCUUGAGGUGGAUGUUUUCAGCCUUGGAAGGAAUCUCCAGACUUUGGGAAUUUAGGAAUUCUUGGAUUCCUUAUAUGAAGUUGCAGGAAGAAAUAGGAGUUUUCUGCAACUACAUCCUUUUCAGAGAAGGUGAAAACUGACCUAAGAGGGACCCAAAAUGCUGAGGGGGUCCAGCCUCCCACAGGGGAUGGGGUCUUGGAGGUGGGACGAUGUUGGUGGAAUGAUGAAUGGGACACAGCUUUCAUAUUCAACCCACAGCACAGGUUGAGUAAGGAGAAGCACUAGCACACCAGAGCUUAUAACCACAGAGGAAAAGUUCUAGGGUGGAAAGUCACAGUUCUAGGGUGGAAAGCAGAACGUGUGCUCUCUCACAAACCAAAGCAAAGGCAAGGAGAAUAGUAAAUACAUCUCCCCUUCAAUCACACUACCUCAGAGAAACUGAAAACACACAGAUCCCAAGACCUAGCUCUGAAAAUAGCUUCAUAAAAUUUUUAAAGUAUAGGAUGGUACCUUGUCCAUCCUGGGAGCAGAGCCAAACUUUAACAUAAAGGUAAAAGUCAAGAAGGAGGAUGUAAAUGUGAGUAAACAACAACAACAACAACAAACAGACCACAUAAUGUUAUUAUACAUUGUCAGGGAAGAUUAAAACAUAAACUCAGAAGAGGACAACAAAGUCAAAACUACCACAUUCAAAACUUCAAAGAAAGAUUGUGAAUCAAUCUCAAGGCUGAAAAGAAUUCCUGGAAGAGCUCAAAAUGGAUUUUACAAAUCAAAUAAUAAAGGUAGAGGAAAAAUUAAGGAAAGAAAUGAGAAUGAUGUAAGAACAUCAUGCAAAGAGAGCCAACAGUUUGGUAGAGGCACAAAAAAAUUACUGAAGAAAAUAACACUUUAAAAAACAGAAUUGGCCACAUGAUAAAAGAGGCAUAAAAAUCUACUGAAGAGAAGAACUUUUUAAAAAGAAGAACUGGACAAAUGGAAAAAGAUGUACAAAAAUUUAUUGGAGAAAAGAACUCUUUAAAAAAGUAGAAUUAAUGGGAGUUGCUAGGUGACUUUGUGGAUUGAGAGCCAGGCCUAGAGAUGGGAGGCCCUGAGUUCAAAUCUGACCUCAGAUACUUUCUAAUGUGACCCUGGGCAAGUCACUUAACUUCCAUUGCCUAGCUCUUACCACCCUUCUACCUUAGAACCAUACUGAUAGAAGGUAAGGGCUUUAAAAAAUAGAAUUAGCCAAAUGGAAAAGAUAUGGGAUGGGGCUGAUAGAAGACAGGAUGGAUUAGAGAAGAAGAUAAUCAGAAGCAAAACACUUUUCAGGAUGGACAACAUGAAAGAAGAGAUUAGGAUAAACAUGGCCAGGAGGGGGUCAAAUGGAGAAAAAUACACAAUAAAAAUAAUUGUGAGAAAGUAUAUAGCAAGUUUCUCUGAUAAAGAUUUCAUUUAUCAAACAUAUAGUCAAAUUUAUAAGAAUACAAUUCAUUCCCUAAUCGAUAAAUGGUCAAAGGAUAUGAACAGGCAGUUGACAGAUGAAGUAGAUGAAGAUGAAGAAACCUAUCUGUAGUUAUAUGGGAAAAUGUUCUAAAUCAUUGGUUAGAAAAGUUAAAAUUAAAACAACUCUGAGGUACUACACCAUACCUAUCAAAUUGACUAAUAUGACAGAAAAUGAAAAUUGCAAAUGUUGGAGGGGUGUGGAAAAUUGGAACACUAGUGUACUGUUGGUAGAGCUAUGGACUGACUUAACCAUUCAGAAAGAAAUUUGGAAUUAUGCCCAAAGGGCAAUAAAAUUAUGCAUACCCUUUGACCCAGCAAUACCAGUAAUAGGUCUAGAUCCAAGAGAUAAAAAACAAAAAUGUAAAGGACCUGUUUAUAUAAAAUUAUUUAUAGCAGCUCUUUUUGUGAUGGCAAAGGAUUGGAAAAUGAAGGGAUGCUCAUCAAUUGGGAACUGUCUGAACUAGUUGUGGUACAUGAUUAUAAUGGAAUACUAUUAUACUACAAAAAAAGACAAGCUGGAUGUUCUCAGAAAAACAUGGAAAGACUUACAUGAACUGAUACAUAGUGAAGUCAGCAGAACCAGGAGAACGUUGUACACAUAGAAUCCAACAAUAGUGUGAAAUCCACUGUGAAAGACUUACCUAUUCUCACCAAUACUGUAGCAGUCCAGCCCAUAGGUAUUAUGGAGAAACAAGGAUUGUGAGUGAGCACAUGGCCACCCUGCGCAUGGCAAUGAGCUCUAUUCCCAGCGUGGCUGAAGUUAGGGCGCGAAACCUUGCUUCCCUUUGUCUCACUCACCUGAGGAUAAUAACCCCACCUUCAACUUGUCAUAAGUUGCAAUUAGCCAAUGGCAAUACACUAGGUAAUUCAUCCAUAUGUAUUGAGGCAUCAUGUAACUGAUCAAUAUGUAUUGAGCUCAUUUGUAUAUCAAAGAGAAUAAAGGGGAAUUGACACAGCCAGCCUGCACACUUGGAGGACAUCGACAGGUUUGCAAUGGAGCAACUUCUCCCCUUUCUCUCUCCUCUCUAUCUUUCUCCUGAGGCCUGGCCGAGGCCAGGCCUUCCUGUCUCUCUCUCUCUUCUAAUGCUAAUACCUAGCAUUAUCUACCACCUUUAGUUUCUGAUCUCCUUUCCUUCUGAGCUAGCAUUAUCCUCUGACCAGUGCAGUGUUAAAUUGAGAUCAUUGGAUGGGAAUAGCCUGAAUAGUAACCUCCAGUGGUCGGAGUAGGCCAUGGCUCCCGAAAAUUAAUAAUUGAUUACUGACUCGAUUAUUUACAUCUCUAAAGCCGGCUCGUUCACGCCCUUCGCGGAAUCCAAAACUUCUAUCCUGUUUCUAUCUUCUCUCCUUGAAACCUCUUGAGGGCCGGGAGGUUUUAAAUACAAUGAUCCAGGACAAUUCCGCAGGACUUAUGAUGAAAAAUGCAAUCCAUCUCCAAUGAAAGAACUGAUGAGUAAAUGCAAAUUGAAAGCAUACUUUAAAAAAACAAACUUUGUUAUUCCUUUUCUUGUAAGGUGAGUUGUAUUUUCUUUUACAUGUCUAAUAUGAAAAUAUGUUUUGCAUGCCUGGACAUGUCUAACCUAUACCAAAUUGCUUGUCUUCUGAAGGAGGGAAAAAGAGAGGGAGGAAGAGAAUUUGAAACUCACAUUUAAAAAACAAGUGUUACAAUUGUUUUUACAGGUAGUUGGGGAAAAUAAAAUAUUAAAUAUCUUCAAAAAAAAUGCAAGGGAUGAGGCAAUUUGGAAAAGAAGCUCCUCUCUCACUCAUAGGAAGUCCCAGAGAAAAUAUUCCAUGUCACAUAUUCUGGAGAUAGAAAGAAGAGAUCAGAAGAAGUUGGCUCUCCUUUUAAAGUUGGCUGAGUGAAUGGCUCUUCCAGUUUCAGUGGCCAAUCAUCUUUGGUACUGCUCCCUACUUUUCCUGCAUUCUCUCAGACCAACGAAUUUGCUUCAAAUUUGCAUUUGCUUCAAAUCUUUCAUCUCUGAGUACCUGUGCCCCCAGAAGUGGCCAGGCGGCACUCAGUUUAGCUUUACUCCAUGGAUUAUGCCCUAAUCUCACCCUAUACUGGGAGGAACACUUAAAAUUCUCCUAUUUAAUAGAUUAUAAAAAGUUUAAAACUCAAAUGCUUGGGAUAGGUAACAAAUCAAAAUUAAUUCCCAGCCUGACUAUUGCUAGUUAGUUGACAAGUAUAAAUGACGGGUGUUAGGUAUUUUCCUGUUUUAAUUAAGCAGAAGGGAUUGGAGGGCCCUAGGAUUUGGAAGGAGGACAGAUAGAUGGAAGGAGUUAUAGGCACCAUGUGUUAUACUCAUGCACCUUUAAGAUGAUAAUCCUUAUGGAUAACUUAGAAUUUUAUUUCUACCAUAAAAGGAUUUUUGGAAUUAAUACAGAAGGGAAGAAGACAAUGGCAAACUUCUUCUUUAGUUUCAGUUCAUAAAUCUUAUGUUUCUCUGAAUUCUUCAGUAUUAAUUAUUUCCCACAACACAGGAAUAUGUUAUCACAUUCAUGUUAUUAAAAAUAUACUGCUGUAGUCAUAUUUUGUUAUCCCAAAUUUGCUCACUUCUCUUUACAUCAGUUAAUAUUAAAUCUUUCAUUCUUCUCUAUAGUCAUGUUUGUUCUUUCUUCUAGCACAAUAAUAUUCCAUAAUAUUCAUGUGUCCCAUUUAGUUUUGUUUUUUUGGUCAUUUCAUUCAUGUCCAGCUUUUGGACAAGGACACAUUUGGGGUUUUCUUGGCAAAGAUACUAGAGUGGCAUACCAUUUCUUUCUCCAGUUCAUUUUACAGAUGAAGAACUGGGACAAAUAAGGUUAAGUGACCUGCCCAAAGUCACCCAGCUAGUAAAUGUCAGAGGCUAGGUUUGAACUCAGGAAGAUGAAUCAGAUGAAUCUUCCUAACUCCAGGCCUGGAACGCUAUUCACUGUGCCACCUAGCAGCCUGCCACAAUUAGUUUAGUUGUUCUAAUCUAAUCUAUGGCUUUCUACUUUGUUCCAAGUUCUUUUCUACCACAAAAAGUGAUACUAUGAAUGUUUUUUGACAAGUGCAGUCAUGCAAAAUAUAUUCCCGUAUUAGUCAUGUUGUGAAAGAAAGCACUGACAAAAUAAUCCCCAAACAAGAAAAAUAAAAAAUUUUUAAAUUAUGCUUUGAUCUGCAUUCAGAUUUGACUAGUUCUUUCUCUGUAGAUGGAUAGCAUUUUUCAUUUAAGUCCUUUAUAAUUGUCUCAGAUUAUUGUAUAGGUGAGAAUAGCUAAGUCACAGCUGAUCAUCAUGUGAUAUUGCUGUAGUUGUGACAUUGUUUUCCUGGUUCUAUUCAUUUCACUUUGCAUCAGUUCAUGUAAGUCUUUCCAGGUUUUUCUGAGAACAUCCACCUAAUCAUUUCUUAUGGCACAAUAGAAUCCAUUGCAAUCAUGUACCAGGACUUAUUCAACCAUUCCCAAAUUGAUGGGCAUCUCUUUAAUUUCUAAUUCUUUGCUGCCACAAAAAGAUCUGCUAUAAAUAUUUCUGUACACGUAAGUACCUUUCCUUUUUUUUUUAAUCUCUUUGGGAUGCAGACCUAGUAGUGGUAUUGCUGGGUCAAAGAGCAUGCAUGGUUUUAUAGACCUUUUGUCUUGGUCCAAGAUCACUCUCUAAGAUCUUUCCAAUUCUAGAUUUGUGCUCCUAUCAUCCUAAAUAUUGGACGUGAGAUAGGAACCAGGUCUUCUAAUUCCAAAGCCAACCUGCCUCUCAGUCAACAGCUUGUUCAGGGAUAAAUAUAUAGCAUGUUAUAAUAAAAUAGGACUUUACUCUGUGCAGUACUAAAUGGCCCUUGCCCCAAUGGAAACCUAUGACCUUGGCCUCAUUCUUUCUACCUAAAUUAACCACUCGUAUAAAUUGCUCAAGCUGCCAAGUCUAAAAGUUAACAUGACCUAUAUCCUGGUCAAUAAUCUAGAGUCAAGUUGUUUGCUGUUGGUCAACAAGGGGGAUGUUGAGUUCAGGGUCCCAGUCUUGGCUAGUUGUAGCUAGCCUUUGCUCUUAGGGUGAAAUGUAAGAGCUAAAGAAAUCAUGUAAAAAGUCAAGCAGCAAACAUUAUAAAUAGCAAACUCCCUCGAGUUUGGCAAGGAAACAAGUCACUUCCUUUAAUGCCCAUUCCUUACAAAGCCUGCUCGUCUGUGGGGAAAGAUCUGUAAGGGAGCAAUGCCCAGUUCUCCCACAGCUUUGGAGAAUGGAGAGUAGUUCUCAUUUACUCUGGAUUAACAACUUUUUGUCAACAAUCUGACUAGGGCAAGGGCAGUCUCUGGAAAUAAAUAUAAGGACCAGUAUAGAUAUGAGAGCCAGUUCCUGCAAGAAGGAAAUCUCUUAUUAUGCAUGGUUGUUUUAGCUGAUCUUAUGAAGUUUCAGAAAUCCAGCACUUUCCUAAUGAUAUCCUUUCAGUCUAGUAACCAGACCAUCUAAGGCAGUUUCUGCACACUCUGAAAGAGGCCUUGUAAAGAUAUAAAGUUCAAAUUGUUUCUGAUGACUUUAGCUAAGCAGAAUAAAUGGAGAGGGAAAUAAAAAAAAUCUUUCCAAAAUGUUCUAACAGGAAACCUCAGAAAUCCUGAGAAAUGACAAGUAUUUCCAAAAUUAAGUUUGACUUAAAAAGCUGGAGGUGAUUCUGAAUGAGGUACUGGAGCAAUUGGAAAGUAUUUGUUAAAGUAAUCAAGUUUAAAGGUGUAGGUCCAAGGAACUACCUCCCUGGCCCCAGUCAUUUACUCUGCCAAUCAAAUCUAUUUUGCAUACCAGGACAAAUUAACCUCCUUAAACCACUUAAGCACUGGAUCUAGUUUGUGGAGACCUGGAUUUUCAUCCCAACUCCAAUGCUAAAUUCAGGGGUAUCUUUGGAUAAGUCACUCUUUCCUCAGUCUUGCUACCUUACAGCUCAGGUACUACCUCUCAACUCUAGUCUUUCCAGAUUCCCCUCCACAUCCCUCAGUAUUUUCUCCUCUUUUGCUUUGUUCUUUUUUUUCCCCCAAGCUGGAACCUGCCCCCUCCCUACCCCUUAGUAGAAUCUACUGUAAUGUCCUCCUAUUUAAGUUUCUGAUCUUGUAUCCCCAUCACCUAGUACCUUGUACCUAGUACCUUGAACAUAUUAGGUAUUAUAAUCAAUGUUUAUUGAACUGAAUUGAAUUGAACUUCAUCUUACCAGCUAGGGAAAUGGAUUAUUGGGGAGGGCAAGGUUUCCCUUCAGUAAUGUUUUAUUUUUUUCCUCAAUUACAUGUAAGAACAAUUUUUGGCAUUUCUUUUGAGUUCCAAAUUCUCUCCCUCCCCCUCUCCUCUCCACCCUUCCUGUGAUGAUAAGCAGUUUUUUAUAUGUGCUAUCAUCAUACAAAACAUUUCUAAUAUUUGUUACGUAGAAGAAGAUAUAUGUGUAUAUGCAUAUACAUAUACAUAUAUAUAUAUAUAUA